CAUUGCGCUAUCAAAAACACAGUCUGGUUGGUAGUCCAGACGCGGCUUAGGCUGUCAGUAUCCUUCCUCCUUGGAUGUCCAGAUUGCGUGAAAAUCUU
rfam:Lactobacillus casei ATCC 334, complete genome.